GAGAGAGAGCAUGAGGGAGUGAAUGAGAGAGUACAUGACAGAGCUAAUGUAAGAACAAAUGUGAGAGCGAAUGAGAGAGCAUGAGAAGAGCAUGUGAAGAGUGAGUGGAGAGAGAAUGUGAUAGUGAAUGAGGGAGCAAAUGAGAGAGAGAUUCUGAGAACAAAUGUGAGCGCCAGGGAGAGAGCAUGUGAGAAUGAGUGAGGAGAGAACGUGAGGUGUGUGUGAAGACUGUGUGUGUGCGUGACAGGAGAGUGCAUGUGGUAUGUGUGAGAUAUGUAUGAGGUGUGUGUGAAGAGUGUGUGUGUGAGUGAAAGGAGAGUGCAUGUGGUGUGUGUGAGAUAUGUAUGAGGUGUGUAUGAAGAUUGUGUGUGUGUGUGACAGGAGAGUGCAUGUGGUGUGUGUGAGAUAUGUGUGAGGUGUGUAUGAAGACUGUGUGUGUGCGUGACAGGAGAGUGCAUGUGGUGUGUGUGAGAUAUGUAUGAGGUGUGUAUGAAGACUGUGUGUGUGCGUGACAGGAGAGUGCAUGUGGUGUGUGUGAGAUAUGUAUGAGGUGUGUAUGAAGAUUGUGUGUGUGUGUGACAGGAGAGUGCAUGUGGUGUGUGUGAGAUAUGUGUGAGGUGUGUGUGAAGACUGUGUGUGUGCGUGACAGGAGAGUGCAUGUGGUGUGUGUGAGAUAUGUGUGAGGUGUGUAUGAAGAGUGUGUGUGUGAGUGAAAGGAGAGUGCAUGUGGUGUGUGUGAGAUAUGUAUGAGGUGUGUAUGAAGAUUGUGUGUGCGUGACAGGAGAGUGCAUGUGGUGUGUGUGAGAUAUGUGUGAGGUGUGUGUGAAGACUGUGUGUGUGCGUGACAGGAGAGUGCAUGUGGUGUGUGUGAGAUAUGUGUGAGGUGUGUGUGAAGACUGUGUGUGUGCGUGACAGGAGAGUGCAUGUGGUGUGUGUGAGAUAUGUAUGAGGUGUGUAUGAAGAGUGUGUGUGAGAAUGAAAGGGUAAUGAACAGAGGUGUGCAUGAGUGUGGGAGUUUGAAAAGAGAAAACUGCAAUAAAAAAAGCAGAGUGCACAAAAGAAUGCAGAGUGUGUUUAUCCUCAAGCUCUGAGAGAGUGAGAGAGAGAGAGACAGAGAGAGAGAGAGAGAGAGAGAGAGAGAGAGAGAGAGAGAGAGAGAAUGACUUUAAGCCUUGAAGUUGCCUGUCAGUUUGUACCCAAAGAGUAGUCUGUGGGUAUGUAUUAUGCGCCUUCCAGAUAACCCUGUUUCCAGGU
rnacentral:lncRNA from 1 species